GUGGUCCUACGGGGCGCAGCAGUGAGGAAUAUUGGUCAAUGGGAGAGAUCCUGAACCAGCCAAGCCGCGUGAGGGAAGACGGCCCUAUGGGUUGUAAACCUCUUUUGUCGGAGAACAAAACCCGGGACGUGUCCCGGACUGCGUGUAUCCGAAGAAGAAGCCCCGGCUAACUACGUGCCAGCAGCCGCGGUAAUACGUAGGGGGCAAGCGUUAUCCGGAUUUACUGGGUGUAAAGGGGGCGCAGACGGCGAUGCAAGCCAGGAGUGAAAGC
rnacentral:rRNA from 1 species